UAUUUUUAUGAACACCCUGAAUUUAAGCAUAUUAAUGAGGGGAGGAAAAAAGAAUAACAAGGAUUUCCUUAGUAGCGGCGAGCGAAAAGGAAAGAGUUCAGCACUAAGUCACUUUGUCUUUAUGGCAAAUGUGAGAUGCAGUGUAUGGAGUGUUCAAUUUCUAGUAUGAGAAAUUAACGAUUUAAGUCCUUCUUAAAUGAGGCCAUUUACCCAUAGAGGGUGCCAGGCCAGUAUAACGUUACUGAUUACUAGAGAACAUUUCCAAAGAGUCGUGUUGCUUGAUAGGGCAGCACAAAGUGGGUGGUAAACUCCAUCUAAAACUAAAUGAAAAAAGAAUAACAAGGAUUUCCUUAGUAGCGGCGAGCGAAAAGGAAAGAGUUCAGCACUAAGUCACUUUGUCUUCAUGGCAAAUGUGAGAUGCAGUGUAUGGAGUGUUCAAUUUCUAGUAUGAGAAAUUAACGAUUUAAGUCCUUCUUAAAUGAGGCCAUUUACCCAUAGAGGGUGCCAGGCCAGUAUAACGUUACUGAUUACUAGAGAACAUUUCCAAAGAGUCGUGUUGCUUGAUAGGGCAGCACAAAGUGGGUGGUAAACUCCAUCUAAAACUAAAUGUAACCAUGAGACCGAUAGUAAACAAGUACCGUGAGGGAAAGUUGAAUAGAGAGUUAUAAA